GAAAAUUUCCACAAAAUUGUCUUCAUUUCUUUUAUACUCCUUCACUUUUUUUCUGAUCCUUGGCUUCGAUUCACUAAAAAAGUCUCACUUCCCUGUUUCAUUGGCCAUUGGCCAUAGGGAGUUGCCGCUAAAAGUGGACCAUCAAUAACAUGGAAAUAUUAUAUGUGAGGAAGCAACACGAAGUAUUUUGGAGGCGAUAAUGUGAAGAAAACACCCACUCAAGAAGUACCCGAACACAAAGGAGCAGAAAAAUGGCCUGGGCAAGAAUUCCACCGCGACCGCGGUGGACCGCGGUGGAAUAAAUCACAAAACAGAAUGGGCAGUCUUCACCGCGGUCCACGCCGCGACCGCGGUGAACUGUUCACGCACCUGGAAAUUUGGGGGUCAAAGUGUAACUUCGGGAAAACUUUUGUAAAACCCUUAUAAGCUUUAGGAACUCGCCCAAGAUUGUUUCAAGCUUGUUUUAGACUACUUUUGGAGGCAAGAACAAGUGUGAGAGAUCACCCAAAACAUUAUAGUUUUUUUUAUCUCUUCUAUUUCUUGCAAUUUUACAUUAUGAACAAUUUAGUAGUUAUCUCUUAUUUUGUUAUGAGUAGCUAAAUCCUUUGUCUUAGGGUUUUGAUGGAACCUAUUGAAGGAUGAACUU